AUAUCAAUAAGGCGAGGAACAGAAACCAACAGGGAUUGCCCUAGUAACGGCGAGUGAAGCGGCAACAGCUCAAAUUUGAAAUCUGGCCCUAGGCCCGAGUUGUAAUUUGUAGAGGAUGCUUUUGGUGCGGUACUUUCCGAGUUCCCUGGAACGGGACGCCUUAGAGGGUGAGAGCCCCGUACGGUUGGAUACCUAGCCUCUGUAAAGCUCCUUCGACGAGUCGAGUUGUUUGGGGAUGCAGCUCAAAAUGGGUGGUAUAUUUCAUCUAAAGCUAAAUAUUGGCCAGAGACCGAUAGCGCUCAAGUA
rnacentral:rRNA from 1 species